rnacentral:rRNA from 1 species
GACGAACGCUGGCGGCGUGCUUAACACAUGCAAGUCGAACGGAGCUGUUUAUUUCGGUAGAUAGCUUAGUGGCAAACGGGUGAGUAACGCGUAGGCAACCUGCCCUUAGGAUGGGGACAACGGCCCGAAAGGACCGCUAAUACCGAAUGGACUCUAACUUUCGCAUGAAAGAAAGAGGAAAGAUGGUGCAAGCCAUCGCCGAAGGAAGGGCCUGCGUCUGAUUAGCCAGUUGGUGAGGUAACGGCUCACCAAAGCGACGAUCAGUAGCCGGUCUGAGAGGAUGAACGGCCACAAUGGGACUGAGACACGGCCCAUACUCCUACGGGAGGCAGCAGUGGGGAAUCUUCCGCAAUGGGCGAAAGCCUGACGGAGCAACGCCGCGUGAGUGAAGAAGGUCUUCGGAUCGUAAAGCUCUGUUGUUGGGGACGAAAGGGAAGGGGAGGAAAUGCCCUUUUUAAGACGGUACCCGACGAGCAAGCCA